rnacentral:rRNA from 1 species
UACGUAGGGUGCAAGCGUUGUCCGGAAUUAUUGGGCGUAAAGAGCUCGUAGGCGGUCUGUCGCGUCUGCUGUGAAAACUCAGGGCUUAACCCUGAGCUUGCAGUGGGUACGGGCAGACUAGAGUGCGGUAGGGGAGACUGGAAUUCCUGGUGUAGCGGUGAAAUGCGCAGAUAUCAGGAAGAACACCCGUGGCGAAAGCGGCUCUCUGGAACGGUACUGGACGCUGAGACGCGAAAGCGUGGGGAGCGAACAGG